rnacentral:rRNA from 1 species
UACGAAGGGGGCUAGCGUUGUUCGGAAUUACUGGGCGUAAAGCGCACGUAGGCGGAUUUGCCAGUCAGGGGUGAAAUCCCGGGGCUCAACCUCGGAACUGCCUCUGAUACAGCAAGUCUUGAGUCCGGAAGAGGUGGGUGGAAUUCCUAGUGUAGAGGUGAAAUUCGUAGAUAUUAGGAAGAACACCGGUGGCGAAGGCGGAUCUCUGGGCCAUUACUGACGCUGAGGAGCGAAAGCGUGGGGAGCGAACAGG